CCUCACACCGGAGGCUUCCUGGACUGGGAAUUUAAUGGACCAGAAGCCCAGCUUCUGCAUUCGGCCCAGGUGGUUGAGAGGGCUCACUGGAGGUUACAGAGACUGGGAUUUCCACACCGUGGGAGAAACUGUAACCCUACUUUGCGGUAACUGGGGAAUGACGUCCAUGGCUGGAGCAAUGCUGUGAUGGGACCUGUGCCCAAGGGAGAAACUGGAACUGCUCCCUGGCAUGUGAAGAUAACAGAAGCUUCCCCUCCCCAACCUGUUUUAAUAAAGUGCCUGGCAUGUGGGGACACGGGUUCGAGUCCUGGUCCGGGAAGAUCCCACAUGCUGCGUAGCAACUAAGCUCGUGCGCCACGACUACUGAGCCUGCACUCUAGAGCGCGUGAGCCACAACUACUGAGCCCGCAAGCCACAGCUACUGAAGCCUGCGCGCCUAGAGCCUGUGGUCCGCAACAAGAGAAGCCACCGCAAUAAGAAGCUCGCGUAUCACAACGAAAAGUAGCCCCUGCUCACCGCAACUAGAGAAAGCCCGCGCGCAGCAACAAAGACCC